UCUUGACUACCCUUUCAAUGCCUUCUCUCCUUUCUCCUCUUCUUCACACCUGUUCCAUCUCUAGUUGCCCAGGCUCCUUCCCUCAGUAGGCCAUUCUCCCUCUGGAUUUCUCAAGCACUGUUUCUCCUCUUAAAACACCCGCCUCACUGUGCUUAGUUCUAAUCCUCCCCACCCCCACCCCACCUCUCUCCUUCUCCUGCUAUCUCAAGACCCACAAGGUCUUUUCAUCUCUGGCUUCCUGCUAUGUUUUUGUCCACUUUGCAUUGGCCUGAAAGAACGCUACCUGCUAGAAAUCGAGGACUGGGAAGAUGGCUCAGUGGAUAAGCAGUUGCUAUCCAAGCAUAAGGAAGGACCUGACUUUGAAUCUAAGCACCAAGGGGAAAGGCUGGUGGUGAAGACUGGAGGAUCCCUGGAGCUGCUGUUGCCAUGGUUGUGAAGUGGUGAGCAACCCUAUGUGGGUGCUGGGAAUAGAGCCCAGGUCCUCUGGAAGAGCAGUAAAAGCGUCUAACUACUGAGCCCCCAUGAGGAUGUGACUGCUGUUUCAGUUCCAGUCUCCUUGAUUUGCCUGUUAGGAAUGACCAGUGGGCACGGGGAAGAGGAACAGCGAGGAUCUGCCAGACUGUGGCGGCUCUUUCCUUCUACCUGGAUGUGACUCCUGGGCUUCAACUUCAUCCACUCUGUGGCUGCUUGCUGUCAUGCCUCCCCACCAUGAUGAACUUUUAAUCUUCUGGAACUGGAUGACAAAUAAAC